rnacentral:rRNA from 1 species
UACGAAGGGGGCUAGCGUUGCUCGGAAUGACUGGGCGUAAAGGGUGCGUAGGCGGGUCCUUAAGUCAGGGGUGAAAUCCUGGAGCUCAACUCCAGAACUGCCUUUGAUACUGAAGAUCUUGAGUCCGGGAGAGGUGAGUGGAACUGCGAGUGUAGAGGUGAAAUUCGUAGAUAUUCGCAAGAACACCAGUGGCGAAGGCGGCUCACUGGCCCGGAACUGACGCUGAGGCACGAAAGCGUGGGGAGCAAACAGG